GUUUACGGCGAAUCAGGGAUGAUUGCUCCGAUCGUCUGCACAGGUAAGGCUUCUACGGUUUUAUUCGAAUGUUACUUCAUCAGACUAGUAGCUAUUGUUGUGUGCCUAUUACAUUAUCGAUUACGAGAGUUUAAUCCGUUCAAGCUUCCCUUUGUGUCCACUUCAACUAGCACUGAUCAAAACGCGUAAACACUCGGCUGCACUAGUAGCGGACGCUCAGCGGAAGUAAGCGGCAGCCAACAACAACGUCUUAAUACUGGCUGUUGAUAUUUAAGAGACCUCCACCGAAGAUCCAUCACUUAUCGCAUCGUAUCGGCGCCAUAAACGUCUUACCUAAAAGAAAACGGUCGAUUAUAUUUAUAGGUAAUGACAGCACAGUUCGAUUCAUGCUGUCAUAAUAACACGCCUUUGGGCAUUAAUGAAUGCGAAUUACCAAGCUAUAACCUCGUAACGAUUCUAUCCGAUUGUGUUAAGUAAAUUGAAGG